rnacentral:rRNA from 1 species
GAUGAACGCUGGCGGCGUGCCUAAUACAUGCAAGUCGAGCGAACAGAUAAGGAGCUUGCUCCUUUGACGUUAGCGGCGGACGGGUGAGUAACACGUGGGUAACCUACCUAUAAGACUGGGAUAACUUCGGGAAACCGGAGCUAAUACCGGAUAAUAUUUCGAACCGCAUGGUUCGAUAGUGAAAGAUGGUUUUGCUAUCACUUAUAGAUGGACCCGCGCCGUAUUAGCUAGUUGGUAAGGUAACGGCUUACCAAGGCGACGAUACGUAGCCGACCUGAGAGGGUGAUCGGCCACACUGGAACUGAGACACGGUCCAGACUCCUACGGGAGGCAGCAGUAGGGAAUCUUCCGCAAUGGGCGAAAGCCUGACGGAGCAACGCCGCGUGAGUGAUGAAGGUCUUCGGAUCGUAAAACUCUGUUAUUAGGGAAGAACAUACGUGUAAGUAACUGUGCACGUCUUGACGGUACCUAAUCAGAAAGCCACGGCUAACUACGUGCCAGCAGCCGCGGUAAUACGUAGGUGGCAAGCGUUAUCCGGAAUUAUUGGGCGUAAAGCGCGCGUAGGCGGUUUUUUAAGUCUGAUGUGAAAGCCCACGGCUCAGCCGUGGAGGGUCAUUGGAAACUGGAAAACUUGAGUGCAGAAGAGGAAAGUGGAAUUCCAUGUGUAGCGGUGAAAUGCGCAGAGAUAUGGAGGAACACCAGUGGCGAAGGCGACUUUCUGGUCUGUAACUGACGCUGAUGUGCGAAAGCGUGGGGAUCAAACAGGAUUAGAUACCCUGGUAGUCCACGCCGUAAACGAUGAGUGCUAAGUGUUAGGGGGUUUCCGCCCCUUAGUGCUGCAGCUAACGCAUUAAGCACUCCGCCUGGGGAGUACGACCGCAAGGUUGAAACUCAAAGGAAUUGACGGGGACCCGCACAAGCGGUGGAGCAUGUGGUUUAAUUCGAAGCAACGCGAAGAACCUUACCAAAUCUUGACAUCCUUUGACAACUCUAGAGAUAGAGCUUUCCCCUUCGGGGGACAAAGUGACAGGUGGUGCAUGGUUGUCGUCAGCUCGUGUCGUGAGAUGUUGGGUUAAGUCCCGCAACGAGCGCAACCCUUAAGCUUAGUUGCCAUCAUUAAGUUGGGCACUCUAAGUUGACUGCCGGUGACAAACCGGAGGAAGGUGGGGAUGACGUCAAAUCAUCAUGCCCCUUAUGAUUUGGGCUACACACGUGCUACAAUGGACAAUACAAAGGGCAGCGAAACCGCGAGGUCAAGCAAAUCCCAUAAAGUUGUUCUCAGUUCGGAUUGUAGUCUGCAACUCGACUACAUGAAGCUGGAAUCGCUAGUAAUCGUAGAUCAGCAUGCUACGGUGAAUACGAUCCCGGGUC